rnacentral:rRNA from 1 species
UACGGGGGGGGCAAGCGUUGUUCGGAAUUACUGGGCGUAAAAGGCUCGUAGGUGGCCAACUAAGUCAGACGUGAAAUCCCUCGGCUUAACCGGGGAACUGCGUCUGAUACUGGAUGGCUUGAGUUUGGGAGAGGGAUGCGGAAUUCCAGGUGUAGCGGUGAAAUGCGUAGAUAUCUGGAGGAACACCGGUGGCGAAGGCGGCAUCCUGGACCAACACUGACACUGAGGAGCGAAAGCCGGGGGAGCAAACGGG